rnacentral:rRNA from 1 species
GAUGAACGCUAGCGGCAGGCUUAAUACAUGCAAGUCGAGGGGCAGCAUGAGUGUAGCAAUACAUUUGAUGGCGACCGGCAAACGGGUGCGGAACACGUACAGAACCUUCCUUCGAGCGGGGAAUAGCCCAGAGAAAUUUGGAUUAAUACCCCAUAGUACAACGGAGUGGCAUCACUUUGUUGUUAAAGAUUUAUCACUUGAAGAUGGCUGUGCGGCUGAUUAGGUAGUUGGCGGGGUAACGGGCCCACCCAAGCCUGCGAUCAGUAACUGGUGUGAGAGCACGACCAGUCACACGGGCACUGAGACACGGGCCCGACUCCUACGGGAGGCAGCAGUAAGGAAUAUUGGUCAAUGGACGAAAGUCUGAACCAGCCAUGCCGCGUGGAGGAUGAAGGUCCUCUGGAUUGUAAAC